UACGUAGGGUGCAAGCGUUAAUCGGAAUUACUGGGCGUAAAGCGUGCGCAGGCGGUUGCGUAAGUCAGAUGUGAAAUCCCCGGGCUUAACCUGGGAACUGCAUUUGUGACUGCAUUGCUGGAGUGCGGCAGAGGGGGAUGGAAUUCCGCGUGUAGCAGUGAAAUGCGUAGAUAUGCGGAGGAACACCGAUGGCGAAGGCAAUCCCCUGGGCCUGCACUGACGCUCAUGCACGAAAGCGUGGGGAGCAAACAGG
rnacentral:rRNA from 1 species